GCCAGGUGUGGUGGUGGGCACCUGUAAUCCCAGCUACUUGGGAGGCUGAGGCAGGAGAAUCGCUUGAACCCAAGAGGCGGAGGUUGCACUGAGCCGAGAUUGUGCCAUUGCACUCCAGCCUGGGCAACAAGAGUGAAACUCCAUAUCAGAAAAUAAAUAAAUAAAUAAAGAUUCAGCUUACUGCUAACACCUAAAUAAAUCUUUAUUGCAAAGCUGGACAUGGUGGCUCAUGCCUGUGAUCUCAGCACUUUAAGAGGCCGAGGCGGGUGCCUCACUUGAGCUUAGGAGUUCGAAACCAGCCUAGGUAACAUAGUGAGAACUCGUCUCUAUUUAAAAAACAAAACAAAAACUUUAUUGAAGUCUUCCUAUCCCUAUCCUACUCAGAAUCCUCCUAAACUGGAAGUAAUUCCUCCCUUUUCUAUGCUCAAUAGAUGGCAUCUCUUUGUAAUUCUUUGCUGCAUUUAUUAUGCAAAUAUAAUCCUAUAAGUAGAAAAUGUAUAUUUUACAGCUGUCUCACCAAACGUUGAGAAUUUGAAGGCAGGGAUUGGUCAUAUCUAUCUUUCACAAUACAUGUAGCAUAGCCACGGCACAAUGAAGCCAACACAUGUUUAUUAAAUGUUGGAAUAAAAUAAUUUAAAAUGGCUUCUAAAUAAAAAUUAUAUAAAAAAGAAAAUGUUAAAUCCAAGGUCUAAAUAAAUAAACACUUCUUCUUCUUUUUUUUUUUUUUUUUUAAUGGGAGAUGGAGUCUUGCUGUCGCCCAGGAUGGAGUGCAC
rnacentral:lncRNA from 1 species